rnacentral:rRNA from 1 species
AUGGCAAUGGCAGUGGCCUCUUCUCUGUCGGUGCUGUUGCUCCUGUGCCUAGCGGCGGCCACCUCGGCGUUCCCGCAGCUUUCGCCUCAGUUCUAUGCCAAGUCAUGCCCCAGGGCGCUGGCAACCAUCAAGAGUGCCGUGACCGCCGCCGUGAGGAGUGAGCCCCGCAUGGGAGCCUCGCUGCUCCGCCUGCAUUUCCACGACUGCUUUGUGCAAGGCUGCGACGCGUCCGUACUGCUGAGCGACACGGCCACCUUCACGGGCGAGCAGGGGGCAGCCCCGAACAACAAUUCCAUUCGAGGCAUGAACGUCAUCGACAACAUCAAGGCGCAGGUGGAGGCCGUGUGCAAGCAGACCGUCUCGUGCGCCGACAUCCUCGCCGUUGCGGCCCGUGACUCCGUCGUCGCCCUGGGAGGGCCUUCGUGGACGGUUCCUCUGGGAAGGAGGGACUCGACGACGGCGAGCCUUUCGCUGGCCAACAGCGACCUGCCUGCACCGUCCUUCGACGUCGCCAACCUCACCGCUAACUUCGCCGCCAAGGGGCUCAGCGUGACCGACAUGGUCGCCCUCUCUGGUGGCCACACGAUCGGACAAUCACAGUGCCGGUUUUUCAGGAGCAGGCUCUACAAUGAGACCAACAUCGACGCGGCCUUCGCGGCAUCUCUCAAGGCCAACUGUCCCCGGCCGACCGGCUCCGGCGACAGCAGCCUGGCACCGCUGGACACGAAGACGCCCAACGGGUUCGACAACGCAUACUACAACAACCUGAUGUCCCAGAAGGGGCUCCUGCACUCCGACCAGGUGCUGAUCAACGACGGACGCACCGCCGGCCUGGUCCGGACGUACUCGUCGGCGUCGGCGCAGUUCAACAGGGACUUCGCAGUGGCCAUGGUGAGGAUGGGGAACAUCAGCCCGCUCACCGGGGCGCAGGGGCAGAUAAGGCUCAGCUGCUCCAGGGUGAACUAA